AGUUGAUGCGUACUGUGCAAAAGGCUUCAGUCACUCCUUGCUUCUUUAUAUUUUGCUACCAAAGAGCCAGACUUUCUUGUAAUUAUUUAAGGUGGAAUUGAGCGAUAGUUCUCCAAGCUUUUUGAAGGUCUGUAUUGAACACGAGGAAUAUGGAUGGAAGGGUGGAUGUCAACAAAUGGCUGAGGCCAAAAUAGUGGAGUGAAAAUCAGUGGAGAAGAUCUAAAGGAGUGUUUUGUGUUUUUGGUCCUUUUAUUCUUCUUUAUUUCAUCGUGUUCUCUGUGUGUCUUUUAUUUCCUAGUUUCGUCUGCUUAUACUUCUAACUUUAUUUAGUGCUUCUAGUUUUGCUUGUCUGAGUAUUUGGUCCUGUUCAUGUUUGGUCUCGUCUUACCCCUGCGUGUUUCCUCCCCAGCAUUUGCUGCAUUGUCUUCAUGUUUGUCUAGUUGCCUGUUUUCUGCAGUCAUGUCUCUGUGUGUGUUUGUGUGUUCCCAUUACUUCCUGUUUUACUUUGGUAGUCUCCUGUCUGUGUACACCAUGUUCUGUUUUGCUUCUCUUACUUUUUUUUCUUUCUUUUUUUGCCUGUCCCGUUUGGCUCUUUUGCCAUCAGAAUUGUUGUCUAAAGGCAAAGAAAGAUGCCCAACGGAUUUACUUGCUUCUCUUACUUUGAAGGCACCCCAUCUUAGUCCCAGCUGUGUUUCCUGUUCCCUUGUCACUCCUCGUGUAUUUAAGCCCUUUGCUUUCUUCUGUCCAGCGCUGCGUUUUCCUGCUUUUCCUAGCGUUCUGCAAUAAAGCUGUCUUUGAGUCUGCAUUUUGGCUCCUUCGUUCCUCCUGCCUGCAGCACACAGGACAUGACAGUUUUGUGAAUUCAGAUUUGAAACGUUUUAUUCAAACCUUCAUCAGUAUGUACAGAGGAGGUCAGGGGAGAUGCACAGCAGUGUCUACAUCCAUCUGUAAAACAUGGUGGAGCUCGUGGUGAUGGUGUACUGGCUGAAACGCUGGUCUUGUCGACACUGAUGGAGUUAUCUAUGCAACAAAGUGCUGUCAGAGUUUGAUCCACCGUGUGACACAGUGUGGAUCUGAUUGGCAACAGCUUCGUUUUUCAGCAUGACAGUGAUUCCAUGUAUUUUUGCACAUUUCAGUAAAUAACUGAACUUAUUCUUCCAGCAAAAUAUCAGGAAAUUAGGGGUCACUAAAGACUUCUGCACAGUACUUGUUGUUUUAAACUUUUUUUCCUAACUUGUGACAAAGCCAAAGAAAGCUGAUGUCUCCUUGUUCUUUGUGCGUGAUGCAAGAAAAUCCAGAAGCUUUAUUAUGCACGUAGACAUCUAACAGUGAAACCUAAUGUCCCCUAAAAUCAGGUCUGAGUUAUUAAGCUGUUCUGAUGGGUUUUGAUCUUUCUCAG
ensembl:lncRNA